AGAGUUUGAUCCUGGCUCAGAUUGAACGCUGGCGGCAGGCCUAACACAUGCAAGUCGAGCGGUAGAGAGAAGCUUGCUUCUCUUGAGAGCGGCGGACGGGUGAGUAAUGCCUAGGAAUCUGCCUGGUAGUGGGGGAUAACGUUCGGAAACGGACGCUAAUACCGCAUACGUCCUACGGGAGAAAGCAGGGGACCUUCGGGCCUUGCGCUAUCAGAUGAGCCUAGGUCGGAUUAGCUAGUUGGUGGGGUAAUGGCUCACCAAGGCGACGAUCCGUAACUGGUCUGAGAGGAUGAUCAGUCACACUGGAACUGAGACACGGUCCAGACUCCUACGGGAGGCAGCAGUGGGGAAUAUUGGACAAUGGGCGAAAGCCUGAUCCAGCCAUGCCGCGUGUGUGAAGAAGGUCUUCGGAUUGUAAAGCACUUUAAGUUGGGAGGAAGGGCAGUAAAUUGAUACUUUGCUGUUUUGACGUUACCGACAGAAUAAGCACCGGCUAACUCUGUGCCAGCAGCCGCGGUAAUACAGAGGGUGCAAGCGUUAAUCGGAAUUACUGGGCGUAAAGCGCGCGUAGGUGGUUAGUUAAGUUGGAUGUGAAAUCCCCGGGCUCAACCUGGGAACUGCAUUCAAAACUGACUGACUAGAGUAUGGUAGAGGGUGGUGGAAUUUCCUGUGUAGCGGUGAAAUGCGUAGAUAUAGGAAGGAACACCAGUGGCGAAGGCGACCACCUGGACUGAUACUGACACUGAGGUGCGAAAGCGUGGGGGAGCAAACAGGAUUAGAUACCCUGGUAGUCCACGCCGUAAACGAUGUCAACUAGCCGUUGGGAGCCUUGAGCUCUUAGUGGCGCAGCUAACGCAUUAAGUUGACCGCCUGGGGAGUACGGCCGCAAGGUUAAAACUCAAAUGAAUUGACGGGGGCCCGCACAAGCGGUGGAGCAUGUGGUUUAAUUCGAAGCAACGCGAAGAACCUUACCAGGCCUUGACAUCCAAUGAACUUUCUAGAGAAUAGAUUGGUGCCUUCGGGACAUUGAGACAGUGCUGCAUGCUGUCGUCAGCUCGUGUCGUGAAAUGUGGGCUAAGUCCGUUACGAGCGCACCUUGUUCCUAGCUUACAGCACGUAAUGUGGCCCCCUAAGAACUGCCGGGGACUAACCGGAAGGAAAGAGUGGGAUC
rnacentral:rRNA from 1 species